rnacentral:rRNA from 1 species
CGUAACCAAAGUCUCCGUUGGUGAACCAGCGGAGGGAUCAUUAUCGAGUUGUCCAACUCCCAACCCUUGCGAACCGUACCCAAUUCUGUUCUCGUUGCUUCUGGCGGGAGGCGGACUGGGCGGCGGGCAUGGCUGGCUUCGGCCGGUCUUGCCCUGCUGCCCGGGCCCCCCCUCGGUCCUCCCUCUGGCCUUCGGGCUGGAGACGAGGCGCCCGCCAGCGGUCGGCGAGCCACCCUGAACUCUUAACAACCUGUUUUAGUUACUGUCUGAGAAACAAAACAAAAUUAGCCAAAACUUUCAACAACGGAUCUCUUGGCUCUGGCAUCGAUGAAGAACGCAGCGAAAUGCGAUACGUAAUGCGAAUUGCAGAAUUCAGCGAGUCAUCGAAUCUUUGAACGCACAUUGCGCCCGCCAGCAUUCUGGCGGGCAUGCCUGUUCGAGCGUCAUUUCCCCCCUCAGCACGCCUUUAGCGCGCUGGCGUUGGGGCUCCUCCUCCCUCUGUGGCGGCAGGGCCCUCAAAUCCAGUGGCGGGCCCGACUGGUUGGCUCCGAGCGCAGUACCGAACGCAAGUUCUCUUCUCGCUCUGAAGCCCCGGCCGGUGCCCAGCCGUUAAGCCUGCGAGUGGCCUCCCAGCCGCUUGCUAUCUCUUUUACAAGGUUGACCUCGAAUCAGGUAGGACUACCCGCU